rnacentral:rRNA from 1 species
UACGAGGGGGGCGAGCGUUGUUCGGAAUUAUUGGGCGUAAAGGGCGCGUAGGCGGUGCGGUAAGUCACCUGUGAAACCUCUGGGCUUAACUCAGAGCCUGCAGGCGAAACUGCCGUGCUGGAGUGUGGGAGAGGUGCGUGGAAUUCCCGGUGUAGCGGUGAAAUGUGUAGAGAUCGGGAGGAACACCGGUGGCGAAGGCGGGUCUCUGGGCAUCUCCUGACGCUGGGGCGCGAAAGCGUGGGGAGCAAACGGG